GACGAACGCUGGCGGCGUGCUUAACACAUGCAAGUCGAACGGAAAGGCCCUGCUUUUGUGGGGUGCUCGAGUGGCGAACGGGUGAGUAACACGUGAGUAACCUGCCCUUGACUUUGGGAUAACUUCAGGAAACUGGGGCUAAUACCGGAUAGGAGCUCCUGCUGCAUGGGGGGGGUUGGAAAGUUUCGGCGGUUGGGGAUGGACUCGCGGCUUAUCAGCUUGUUGGUGGGGUAGUGGCUUACCAAGGCUUUGACGGGUAGCCGGCCUGAGAGGGUGACCGGCCACAUUGGGACUGCGAUACGGCCCAGACUCCUACGGGAGGCAGCAGUGGGGAAUAUUGCGCAAUGGGCGGAAGCCUGAUGCAGCAACGCCGCGUGCGGGAUGACGGCCUUCGGGUUGUAAACCGCUUUCGCCUGUGACGAAGCGUGAGUGACGGUAAUGGGUAAAGAAGCACCGGCUAACUACGUG
rnacentral:rRNA from 1 species